rnacentral:rRNA from 1 species
UAUACAUGCAGUCGAACGCGUCUUGGUCAAUGAAGUUGAGUGCUUGCAUUUAACUGAUUUGACAUUAAGACGAGUGGCGAACUGGUGAGUAACACGUGGGUAACUUGCCCCGAAGCGGGGGAUAACAUUUGGAAACAGGUGCUAAUACCGCAUAACAACAAAAACCACAUGGUUUUUGUUUAAAAGAUGGUUUCGGCUAUCACUUUGGGAUGGACCCGCGGCGUAUUAGCUAGUUGGUGAGGUAAUGGCUCACCAAGGCAAUGAUACGUAGCCGACCUGAGAGGGUAAUCGGCCACAUUGGGACUGAGACACGGCCCAAACUCCUACGGGAGGCAGCAGUAGGGAAUCUUCCACAAUGGACGAAAGUCUGAUGGAGCAACGCCGCGUGAGUGAUGAAGGGUUUCGGCUCGUAAAACUCUGUUGUUGGAGAAGAACGGGUGUCAGAGUAACUGUUGACAUCGUGACGGUAUCCAACCAGAAAGCCACGGCUAACUACGUGCCAGCAGCCGCGGUAAUACGUAGGUGGCAAGCGUUGUCCGGAUUUAUUGGGCGUAAAGCGAGCGCAGGCGGUUUUUUAGGUCUGAUGUGAAAGCCUUCGGCUUAACCGGAGAAGUGCAUCGGAAACCGGGAGACUUGAGUGCAGAAGAGGACAGUGGAACUCCAUGUGUAGCGGUGAAAUGCGUAGAUAUAUGGAAGAACACCAGUGGCGAAGGCGGCUGUCUGGUCUGCAACUGACGCUGAGGCUCGAAAGCAUGGGUAGCGAACAGGAUUAGAUACCCUGGUAGUCCAUGCCGUAAACGAUGAGUGCUAAGUGUUGGAGGGUUUCCGCCCUUCAGUGCUGCAGCUAACGCAUUAAGCACUCCGCCUGGGGAGUACGACCGCAAGGUUGAAACUCAAAGGAAUUGACGGGGGCCCGCACAAGCGGUGGAGCAUGUGGUUUAAUUCGAUGCUACGCGAAGAACCUUACCAGGUCUUGACAUCUUCUGCUAACCUAAGAGAUUAGGCGUUCCCUUCGGGGACGGAAUGACAGGUGGUGCAUGGUUGUCGUCAGCUCGUGUCGUGAGAUGUUGGGUUAAGUCCCGCAACGAGCGCAACCCUUAUUGUCAGUUGCCAGCAUUUAGUUGGGCACUCUGGCGAAACUGCCGGUGACAAACCGGAGGAAGGUGGGGGAUGACGUCAAAUCAUCAUGCCCCUUAUAACUGG